rnacentral:misc_RNA from 1 species
GCAAGUUUUCAUUAGAAAAACGAAGAGAUAUUCAGGUCUACAAAAUGAGCAACAUCAAAAGAAGUGUCCACCCAGACCUGCUCCUAUAUUUCUCCCUCCGCGAAAUGAACUCUGGCCAUAGCACGAGUCACAGCAUUACCUGAGCGGCACACAAAAGACCAUGAACAACUGCCAAAAUUCUGCAUCAAUUACAAACGAUCUUGACUGAAGCAAUUGCACCACAUGCAGACAACUGAUUCAACAAGAAGACUCCGGAAGCUUAAACCCACAGCCAAUUGCAGACCAUAGGAAAUUGCCAUUGCCUCUGAAACUGCCGGCCCCCAAGACCCACACAUGCUGUUCGAAGCAGCUGCCAAGAAAAGCCCACUAGCAUUCCGAAAGACUACACCCAAUUGAACCAUAUUUGGUGAAACAAUGGCAACAUCCGUAUUCAACCUAACAAUGCCUUGAGGACGAGGCGCCCAAGAGGAGGUAUGAGAACGACCCGAAGGCCUCAAAGCAUCACCCUCACCCCUUCGAGUUUGCUGAAAUUCAGAAUUAAGAGCACCAGCUCUAGCAACAACCUCGUGACAUGAUCACUGACGCUGCUUAAAGACCCACUUAUUCUUUCCAACCCAGAUGAAAUAACAAAAACAUGCAAUCUUUGCCAACUCUUCACGUGAGCAUUUUUCUAGCAGACCCAACCACCAUCAAUCCCACACGCUACACACCUGUGACCAGUCACGACAUAGGUGAAUAGGAGAUUCUUCAAGAGUACAUAAGGCACAGAUAGGACUGAUAGAGGAAAUACGUCUAUGUAAGAAACCUUUCGUUGACAAAAUCCAAAGCAGCUCUCCAUAUAAAAUUAACAAUCUUGGGUGGAGCGUCUAAUUUCCAAAUUGAUUUCUGAAUUCUAAAAUUAUUCUCCAACGAGGAAGAACCAGGAUAUUUGAUUCGAAGAUUUCAAAAUCAACGUCAACCGAUAGCCACUUCUCACCGAAUACACUCUUAAUUCAUCCUGAAUGGAUUGUAUAGCUCCACAUCAAUUGGAUAAAAAACCUUCUGCUAAGAGAUCCAUUCUCCACACACGAUUUCGCUCAUCAAUUAAUUAUGAAACAUUAGCAUUGAGGGGAAGAGUAUUAGGUGGAGAAAUAAUACGAAAACUAUCCCGAGGAUAAUACCUAGAUUUAACGCUCCAAACCAAGAGCUCCUUACUCCAGACGACAUAGCUAUUGCCACAAGCAUAAAUACAUCCAUUUUUCCUUCCAUUCUUUGCCCCCACCAAGACUGACUAAUCAUCAUACGCAAUUCAUCACAGAAGGAUGAUGGUAAACGGAAGUAUUUCAUCAAAUAUGAUGGAAUGGCUUGGACUACAGUCGUCACCAAAAGAUCUCUAGCAACAGUAGAUAGAAAAUUGUCUUUUCACCCCUGUAAUCUUUACCAAAGCCUUCCUUGAUUUUGGCAAAGACUGCACCUUUCGAUGACCACCACAGUAGGCAAACUCAAAUACAAAUCAUGUCUCUCUACUUCACGAACACCGAAUGAGGUAGAUAAAAAUUGACCCAAAUCAGAAGGCAAAUUAGCACUGAACAGCAACUCGGAUUUAUGCAAAUUAACCUUUUGCCCGGAAAGAUUUUCAUACCGCAGCAAAAUGCUGAAAUAACAACUACUUCAUUAAGAGUAGCUCUCAAAAAAGAAUGCAAUCAUCCACGAACAACCAUUAAUUAAAACUGAAUAAGAGACCGUUGUGACACAUUGCAUCACUAAGGAAGCCCAAACUAGUGAAAACCCCAAAUGGAACAUUAUUGCUUCUUGAAAAGACCAUUCCACCCCGUCAUAGGCUUUGGCCAUAUCUAACUUCAAAACCAUUAAUGCUCUGCUUGAACGGCCACUAUUCUUCUUAUGGUGGAACACCUCAAAAGCUACUAACACAUUAUUUGUAAUCAAGCGACCAGGCACAAAAGCACUUUGAGAAAUAUCCACAAUAUUAAAUAAAAUACCCUUCAAGCGAUUAGCAAUAACCUUUGUAAUGAUUUUGAACAUUACAUUACACAGGCUAAUAGGUCUAAACUCCCCCACAUACCUUGGAUGUUUUACCUUUGGAAUCAAGCAGAUAAAAGUGUGAUUGAGGCCCUCAGGAAUAUGACCACCCUGAAGAACAUGCUACACCAAUCGAAUUACAUUAGUACCCACAGUUGCUAGUACUUUUGAAAGAACAGAGGUGGCAAACCAUCCGGUCCAAGAGCUUUAUAUGGAUCCAUCUAUUUUACUGCCUGCACAAUCUCUUCAAAGCUAUAUGGCUGCAAUAAAA